AGGGAUUUCAUAUUUCAGGAAAAUGGGACUGCUUUUAUUUUGAUACUCUAGUGGUUAUUAAUUUGACCUCUGGAGAAGUUUUGCUUGUUGGAAGCA